rnacentral:rRNA from 1 species
UCGGGAAUUUUGGGCAAUGGGCGAAAGCCUGACCCAGCAACGCCGCGUGAAGGAUGAAGUAUUUCGGUAUGUAAACUUCGAAAGAAUGGGAAGAAUAAAUGACGGUACCAUUUAUAAGCUCCGGCUAACUACGUGCCAGCAGCCGCGGUAAUACGUAGGGAGCAAGCGUUGUUCGGAAUUACUGGGCGUAAAGCGCACGUAGGCGGAUUGUUAAGUCAGAGGUGAAAUCCCGGAGCUCAACUUCGGAACUGCCUUUGAUACUGGCAAUCUAGAGUCCGGAAGAGGUUAGUGGAAUUCCCAGUGUAGAGGUGAAAUUCGUAGAUAUUGGGAAGAACACCAGUGGCGAAGGCGGCUAACUGGUCCGGUACUGACGCUGAGGUGCGAAAGCGUGGGGAGCAAACAGGAUUAGAUACCCCCGUAGUCCCUGAGCGGGCUGGCAAGGCG